rnacentral:tRNA from 1 species
GCUGAGGUAGUCUAGCGGUAAGGCGCAGGCCUGGAAAGCCUGUGGGGCGUUUGCCCCUCGAGGGUUCAAUUCCCUCCCUCAGCG